rnacentral:snRNA from 1 species
GUGCUUGCUUCGGCAGCACAUAUACUAAAACUGGAAUGAUACAGAGAAGAUUAGCAUGGCCACUGCACAAGGACGACAUG